CUCUGAAGGAGUUGUAUCUCUAUGGUGGCUCAUGAGGACAUGGAUUUAGUUCCAAUCACCUAUGUAUGAUGUCUUCCAACCACCUUUAACUCCAGACCCAGGGAAUCUGGUGCCAUCCUCUGGACUCUUCAAGAAUCUAUUAUUAUAGAAGACCACUGUAAACACCAAAACUUCGUGGCCAGGAAUGAUUCAACAUGCCAAGCACUUGUUACCAAAGCCUGAGGAUUGGAUCUCCAGUUUGGAUCUCCAGCACCCAUGUGAGACAGGCAAACAGGAGGCAAACAGGACACCCACAGUCCCAGCAAACAGGAGACAGAGACAGGAUCUCUGAAAGCAAGCUGGCUAGUUAGACUCAUCAAAGCAGCAAGCUCUGGCUUCAAAUGACAGACCCUACCUUAAUAUUUAAGGUGGGAAGAAAUCAAGGAAGACAUUUGUCAUCAACCUUUGGCCUCCACACACACAUACCUGUAAAUGCACACAGUACACACACACACACACACACACACACACACACACACACACCAGCAAAAAUUCAAAAGAGAUGGACUACAGUCCAGGAUACUUACCAGUCACUAGGAACAGAACACCAAAGCACCAUAUAUAGUGAGGCCACUGCAUAGAGAAUUGCAUGGGGCUGGACUUUAUCCUCAGACUCUGGAUUUCAGGGGAAUGAAGUAACAAGUUCAUGAAGUCCAUGUUAGAUGGGAUUCUCUUGAUAGAAGAUCUCGCUUGAAAUCCUCAACUUGAUUGAAGUCAGUACCCGAAGCUUUGGCCGGAGUGUCAGUUGAAAUGGAGCAAGUUGGAUCCAGUGCAUUUGAAGUAUACCAGCUGAUUGAGUUCAGCAGUUUUUUC
rnacentral:lncRNA from 1 species